ACAAGCGUAAUUAAAGAUACUUAAAUGGGUUUUUGCAUGUUAAAAUGUUUUAGGGAAUGGUGGUUCUGGCAGUGCACUAGAGGGCGCUGUGGGAGUGCUGCGUGUUGCAAGGUGUCUGCUGGGCUGCAGGUCAUAACCCAGCAAGACAAGAGCUGAUCACACGCAUGGUUUUGUCCUGUCUUUAUUUCACCAUUCCACAGGUUAGCUGACUGUUUAAUGUGCCAAUCUACAUAGAUGUUGAUAUAGCAUAUGUCAGUGCAUAUUAAGUGCUUUAGUUCGAUUUGUUCUGAUGAAUAGUUGUAUGUUUAAUCCUUACUUAAAAAUCGCUAUGCUAAUGCUAUGCUAACCCGCGAGUGAAGGACUAAUGUAUGCCCUGUGAUAUGUGAUAAUGGUUACUGAAGGUGAAUAUGUUUUAAUGUGUUUGUAUAUCAGUUCGUAUAAAUGUUAGUUUACUUUUAAAAUGCAUGUGAGUGAUCUAAAAUGGGUGAAACAUUUAAAUAGUGUCAUGAUUUAAGAUGUAUUUAGUACAGUUGAAUUGAAUAGAGACUCAGACAUGCUAAAUAGUACAUGAAUAUGUAAAUGAGUAACACUGCGAUUGGCUGAACAACAGAUCUUCAUCGAAAUACUUUGCAUUCACAAGAGAGAGAGAUUGAAACAGUGGACAUUUACAUAGAGAAGCAAUCUAUUGUUCAUAAGAAUGGCAAUCCAUGCAGCUCAACCAGCAAUGCACCCCUAAGAUGCAAAUGUGUGGAAACACGCACCACCCAUAAAGGCUCCAAUUUUAUUUUUAAAGAAAAAGAGGUCAAAAUAGACACCUACAAUUCCAACAUGCAAUGCGUGUUGAGUGAUGGCAAGGAGAUGUACAUGGUGUCAAAAUCUGGCCAUGACACCAAUUUUGAUGCUGGCCUUUCUUAUGUAAUAAAAAAUUUUGUUUUAAAUUUUAGAAAGCAUUUAUACAUUUAGGCGAAGGUAUUUGUUAGUUGGCCCCAAAACCUUAAUUUUUAGAACAGCUCCACUGGACCUACCAGAGGAAGCAGAGAGAGCAGCGAGGGAGACCCUUUAUCCACUUUCACAAGAAGUGACUGGUGAAGAAAAGGACCUCUUUUCAAGACCCGGAUUUUUUACUGUCCAGGGCAAAAUUAAAACUGUCGCCCAGGGACAAAGAGUGGUGCAGGAGCUGGAGGUUGACGGGGUACUGGAGAAGGAAGACACCUUUAUCCUGCUUGACAGCUUGUGUGAAGAGUACAUCUUGCCUGUUGAGGUGUACUCCGGCAGCCUCGAAGAACUAAUAGAGAGGCUGCCAUUUAAAGUAUCUGUAGAGAGCGUUAAUAAAAGAGUACACAAAUUUAAUGCGAUAGAGGCAAGUUUGUAAAUAGACCCAUGGAUUUAUGAUUUUUUUUGUAUGAUAGUUUUGUUUUAAUAAUUUGUUCAUUUGUUUGUUUUUAGGGUUUAAUUGUCAUUUAUUUCAUGUGCAAUUCUGUUUCUAUUUGAUAAAUGUUCUGUUUAAUUCUA